rnacentral:rRNA from 1 species
GUGGAACUUCCAUGUGUAGCGGGUGAAAUGCGUAGAUAUAUGGAAGAACACCAGUGGCGAAGGCGGCUGUUUGGUCUGUAACUGACGCUGAGGCUCGAAAGUAUGGGUAGCAAACAGGAUUAGAUACCCUGGUAGUCCAUACCGUAAACGAUGAAUGUUAAGUGUUGGAGGGUUUCCGCCCUUCAGUGCUGCAGCUAACGCAUUAAGCAUUCCGCCUGGGGAGUACGGCCGCAAGGCUGAAACUCAAAGGAAUUGACGGGGGCCCGCACAAGCGGUGGAGCAUGUGGUUUAAUUCGAAGCUACGCGAAGAACCUUACCAGGUCUUGACAUACUAUGCAAAUCUAAGAGAUUAGACGUUCCCUUCGGGGACAUGGAUACAGGUGGUGCAUGGUUGUCGUCAGCUCGUGUCGUGAGAUGUUGGGUUAAGUCCCGCAACGAGCGCAACCCUUAUUAUCAGUUGCCAGCAUUAAGUUGGGCACUCUGGUGAGACUGCCGGUGACAAACCGGAGGAAGGUGGGGAUGACGUCAAAUCAUCAUGCCCCUUAUGACCUGGGCUACACACGUGCUACAAUGGAUGGUACAACGAGUUGCGAACUCGCGAGAGUAAGCUAAUCUCUUAAAGCCAUUCUCAGUUCGGAUUGUAGGCUGCAACUCGCCUACAUGAAGUCGGAAUCGCUAGUAAUCGCGGAUCAGCAUGCCGCGGUGAAUACGUUCCCGGGCCUUGUACACACCGCCCGUCACACCAUGAGAGUUUGUAACACCCAAAGUCGGUGGGGUAACCUUUUAGGAACCAGCCGCCUAAG